AGAGAGAAAGAAGAGCAUAAAGAAACCUGAAAUUUUGGAAUACUCCCAUUUAUCUGUUCAGGCUUGUGAAUCCAGCAAGAAGGAUUGGAAUCAAACGUAGCUCAGAAUAGGGAUCUGAUACCAAUUUGUUAUACAAUAGCCUACAAACUUAGUGAAACAUAGAUAGAUUGGAUGACAAAGAAAUAGAUUAGAUGAGAAUAGAAGAGAAUAUUUAGAAAUGAGAGAAAAACAUUCUUGUUUAUUGAA
rnacentral:misc_RNA from 1 species